rnacentral:rRNA from 1 species
GUUUGAUCCUGGCUCAGAUUGAACGCUGGCGGCAGGCCUAACACAUGCAAGUCGAACGGUAACAGGAAACAGCUUGCUGUUUCGCUGACGAGUGGCGGACGGGUGAGUAAUGUCUGGGAAACUGCCUGAUGGAGGGGGAUAACUACUGGAAACGGUAGCUAAUACCGCAUAACGUCGCAAGACCAAAGAGGGGGACCUUCGGGCCUCUUGCCAUCGGAUGUGCCCAGAUGGGAUUAGCUAGUAGGUGGGGUAACGGCUCACCUAGGCGACGAUCCCUAGCUGGUCUGAGAGGAUGACCAGCCACACUGGAACUGAGACACGGUCCAGACUCCUACGGGAGGCAGCAGUGGGGAAUAUUGCACAAUGGGCGCAAGCCUGAUGCAGCCAUGCCGCGUGUAUGAAGAAGGCCUUCGGGUUGUAAAGUACUUUCAGCGGGGAGGAAGGGAGUAAAGUUAAUACCUUUGCUCAUUGACGUUACCCGCAGAAGAAGCACCGGCUAACUACGUGCCAGCAGCCGCGGUAAUACGUAGGUGGCAAGCGUUGUCCGGAUUUGUUGGGCGUAAAGCGAGCGCAGGCGGUUUCUUAAGUCUGAUGUGAAAGCCCCCGGCUCAACCGGGGAGGGUCAUUGGAAACUGGGAGACUUGAGUGCAGAAGAGGAGAGUGGAAUUCCAUGUGUAGCGGUGAAAUGCGUAGAUAUAUGGAGGAACACCAGUGGCGAAGGCGGCUCUCUGGUCUGUAACUGACGCUGAGGCUCGAAAGCGUGGGGAGCAAACAGGAUUAGAUACCCUGGUAGUCCACGCCGUAAACGAUGAGUGCUAAGUGUUGGAGGGUUUCCGCCCUUCAGUGCUGCAGCAAACGCAUUAAGCACUCCGCCUGGGGAGUACGACCGCAAGGUUGAAACUCAAAGGAAUUGACGGGGGCCCGCACAAGCGGUGGAGCAUGUGGUUUAAUUCGAAGCAACGCGAAGAACCUUACCAGGUCUUGACAUCCUUUGACCACUCUAGAGAUAGAGCUUUCCCUUCGGGGACAAAGUGACAGGUGGUGCAUGGUUGUCGUCAGCUCGUGUCGUGAGAUGUUGGGUUAAGUCCCGCAACGAGCGCAACCCUUAUUGUUAGUUGCCAUCAUUUAGUUGGGCACUCUAGCGAGACUGCCGGUGACAAACCGGAGGAAGGUGGGGAUGACGUCAAAUCAUCAUGCCCCUUGUGACCUGGGCUACACACGUGCUACAAUGGGAAGUACAACGAGUCGCUAGACCGCGAGGUCAUGCAAAUCUCUUAAAGCUUCUCUCAGUUCGGAUUGCAGGCUGCAACUCGCCUGCAUGAAGCCGGAAUCGCUAGUAAUCGUGGAUCAGAAUGCCACGGUGAAUACGUUCCCGGGCCUUGUACACACCGCCCGUCACACCAUGGGAGUGGGUUGCAAAAGAAGUAGGUAGCUUAACCUUCGGGAGGGCGCUUACCACUUUGUGAUUCAUGACUGGGGUGAAGUCGUAACAAGGUAACC